GAUGAACGCUGGCGGCGUGCCUAAUACAUGCAAGUCGAGCGGACAGACGAGGCGCUUGCGCCUCUGACGUUAGCGGAAGACGGGAGUGUAACACGUGGAUCCUCUCCUUAUAUUUCGGGUAUCACUACGGAAAACCGGCGAAAAUACCGGAUGAUAUCUUGCACCGCAUGGUGCAUUGGAAAAAGACGGUUUUGCUGUCUCUACUCGCUGGUUCCGAGCCGCAUUAGGUGGUAGGUAAGGUAACGGCUUAUCAAGGCUACGAGGCGUGGCCGAACUGAGGGGCGGAUCGGCCACAUUGGAACUGAGACACGGACCAUACUCCUACGGGAGGCAGCAGUAGGCAACGUGACGCAACGGUCGAAAGCCUUACGGAGCAACGCCGCGUGAGUUAUGAAGGCCUUCGGUUCGUAAAGCCCUGUUAUUAGGGAAGAACAAAUGUGUAAGGAACUAUGCACGUCGUGACGGUACUGAAUCAGAAAGCCCCGGCUAACUACGUG
rnacentral:rRNA from 1 species